UACGGGGGGGGCAAGCGUUGUUCGGAUUUACUGGGCGUAAAGGGAGUGUAGGCGGUUGGUCAAGUCGGAUGUGAAAGCUUCACCACUCAACGGGAAGAGGUCAUCCGAAACUGGCCGGCUAGAGUAGGGUAGAGGCAAGCGGAAUUCCUGGUGUAGCGGUGGAAUGUGUAGAUAUCAGGAAGAACAUCGGUGGCGAAGGCGGCUUGCUGGGCCCUUACUGACGCUGAGACUCGAAAGCGUGGGGAGCAAACGGG
rnacentral:rRNA from 1 species